rnacentral:rRNA from 1 species
CAGCCGUAAACUAUGCUCGCUAGGUGUCAGGCAUGGCGCGACCGUGUCUGGUGCCGCAGGGAAGCCGUGAAGCGAGCCACCUGGGAAGUACGGCCGCAAGGCUGAACCUAAGGAUUGGCGGGGGAGCACAACAACGGGUGGAGCCUGCGGUUUAAUUGGACUCAACGCCGGACAACUCACCGGGAACGACAGCAAUAUGUAGGCCAGGCUGAAGACCUUGCCUGAAUCGCUGAGAGGAGGUGCAUGGCGUAGACGUCU